GUGUGGCUGGAGGAAGUGCACAAAUACUAAAAUUGGAAUACAGAGAAGAUUAGCAUAUCCCCUGUGCAAGUAUGACAUGCAAAUUCAUGAAGUAUUCCAUAUUUUU